rnacentral:rRNA from 1 species
UUGCUCUCGGGUGACGAGCGGCGGACGGGUGAGUAAUGUCUGGGAAACUGCCUGAUGGAGGGGGAUAACUACUGGAAACGGUAGCUAAUACCGCAUAACGUCGCAAGACCAAAGUGGGGGACCUUCGGGCCUCAUGCCAUCAGAUGUGCCCAGAUGGGAUUAGCUAGUAGGUGGGGUAAUGGCUCACCUAGGCGACGAUCCCUAGCUGGUCUGAGAGGAUGACCAGCCACACUGGAACUGAGACACGGUCCAGACUCCUACGGGAGGCAGCAGUGGGGAAUAUUGCACAAUGGGCGCAAGCCUGAUGCAGCCAUGCCGCGUGUAUGAAGAAGGCCUUCGGGUUGUAAAGUACUUUCAGCGAGGAGGAAGGCGUUAAGGUUAAUAACCUUAGCGAUUGACGUUACUCGCAGAAGAAGCACCGGCUAACUCCGUGCCAGCAGCCGCGGUAAUACGGAGGGUGCWASMGWUAAUCGGAWUUACUGRGCGWAAAGCGCACGCAGGCGGUCUGUCAAGUCGGAUGUGAAAUCMCCGGGCUCAACCUGGGAACUGCAUUCGAAACUGGCAGGCUAGAGUCUUGUAGAGGGGGGUAGAAUUCCAGGUGUAGCGGUGAAAUGCGUAGAGAUCUGGAGGAAUACCGGUGGCGAAGGCGGCCCCCUGGACAAAGACUGACGCUCAGGUGCGAAAGCGUGGGGAGCAAACAGGAUUAGAUACCCUGGUAGUCCACGCCGUAAACGAUGUCGACUUGGAGGUUGUGCCCUUGAGGCGUGGCUUCCGGAGCUAACGCGUUAAGUCGACCGCCUGGGGAGUACGGCCGCAAGGUUAAAACUCAAAUGAAUUGACGGGGGCCCGCACAAGCGGUGGAGCAUGUGGUUUAAUUCGAUGCAACGCGAAGAACCUUACCUACUCUUGACAUCCAGAGAACUUAGCAGAGAUGCUUUGGUGCCUUCGGGAACUCUGAGACAGGUGCUGCAUGGCUGUCGUCAGCUCGUGUUGUGAAAUGUUGGGUUAAGUCCCGCAACGAGCGCAACCCUUAUCCUUUGUUGCCAGCGGUCCGGCCGGGAACUCAAAGGAGACUGCCAGUGAUAAACUGGAGGAAGGUGGGGAUGACGUCAAGUCAUCAUGGCCCUUACGAGUAGGGCUACACACGUGCUACAAUGGCAUAUACAAAGAGAAGCGACCUCGCGAGAGCAAGCGGACCUCAUAAAGUAUGUCGUAGUCCGGAUUGGAGUCUGCAACUCGACUCCAUGAAGUCGGAAUCGCUAGUAAUCGUAGAUCAGAAUGCUACGGUGAAUACGUUCCCGGGCCUUGUACACACCGCCCGUCACACCAUGGGAGUGGGUUGCAAAAGAAGU